ACUUGUCUGUGUAUGUACGUGUGUGUGUUGUGUGUGUGUGCGUGCGCAUCCGUGUGUGUGUGUGUGUCUCUAUGUCUAUGUGUGUUAGUACGUGUGCAUAUUGUGUGUGUGGAGUGUUUUGUAUGUGGGUAUGUCUGUCUUCUGUGUUUUCAACCUUUUCUUGUUUUUGCAGGUACAACUUUAAUUAUUUUGCUUAUAGUCAAUAUGUCUCAUGUACAGCUGCUUUGUAACAAUGAAAAUUGUAAAAGCGCUUUAUAAAUAAAGUUGAGUUGAAUCAGGAGGUGGUGGUGCCAUCAGUUACUACAGGCAUUUCCUCUGGCAAGCCAACAGUCAGUCACCAAACCAAUGAUCCAACUGGAUCUAAACGUUAUGGAGGUCACCUCAUCUUUGCCAGACGUCAUGGAGAUCACCCCAGCUAUGAGAAUCCAUAAAGGACUCGGCUGUGAUGAAACAGAUUCUGCUCACUGUGACUGGGUGAAGGAGUACCGAACCCACUUUGCUGGGAAAGUUCACCUACCACAGGUCACAAGAAUGAACAAGGAUGAUCAUUGACCAAUAAAUGUCUGUCUGUCUGUCUGAAAAAAAUAUAUAUAUAUCUUGUUGUUCAUUCUCUCCUUUGCUUACUCCAGCUUUAAUCCUAGUAGAAUGGCCUUGUAAACUAACGGUACUGCUCUCCUACUUGUAAGUCGCUUUGGAUAAAAGCGUCUGCCAAAUUAAUAAAUGCAAAUGUAAAUUAUUCCUUGUUGGCUAUAACAAUGCGGGACCUAUUUAUUGACACCAUUUUCUAUGAUGGUGGCAUGGAUCAGGACAAAAUCAAGGCUCCCUUCCUUUUCACCUUUGAGAAAUGCAGGACAUGGAGUUUUUCAUGCAGGAUGUAUAUGAUAAAAUAAAUAUUUGUGUGUCUUGCCUGCACAAUCCUGACCUUUAAAAAGCU